UACAGAGGCCCCGAGCGUUACCCGGAAUCACUGGGCGUAAAGGGUGUCCAGGCGGCCCUGUUAGUCUCUUGUAAAAUCUAUGGGCUCAACCUAUAGCGCGCAAGGGAAACGGCAGGGCUCGAGAGCGCGAGAGGUAGAGGGAACUCACGGUGGAGGGGUGAAAUCCGUUGAUAUCGUGGGGAACACCAAAGGCGAAGGCACUCUACUAGCGCGUUUCUGACGCUCACACACGAAAGCCAGGGGAGCGAACGGG
rnacentral:rRNA from 1 species